rnacentral:rRNA from 1 species
UACGUAGGGGGCAAGCGUUGUCCGGAAUCAUUGGGCGUAAAGCGCGUGUAGGCGGCCCGGUAAGUCCGCUGUGAAAGUCCAGGGCUCAACCCUGGAAAGCCGGUGGAUACUGUCGGGCUAGAGUCCGGAAGAGGCGAGUGGAAUUCCUGGUGUAGCGGUGAAAUGCGUAGAUAUCUGGAGGAAUACCGGUGGCGAAGGCGGCAGCCUGGACCGGCAUUGACGCUGAGGAGCGAAAGCCAGGGGAGCAAACGGG